rnacentral:misc_RNA from 1 species
GGAACUUUAUCUUUCCAGAGGAUGGCACUUGACGAGGCCAAGCGAGCGAGAAACAUCGAGUAGAUAGUACUAUUACAUACACUGGAGAAAGAUGGGAGGAGGAGCCAUGCAUACUGACCUUCCUAUGAUCCAUUCCAACACUUCUUUAUCUGCCCUCCCCUCUCUAUCUCCUCCACCUCCUUCUACUAGUCUUAAUUUCCCAGUCUCUGUCAAUAACAUGGCAUCCCUUCCACAAUCUUUUAUUGCUUCUUCUUCUUCUUCUUAUUAUCCCAGUGAAAGUUUGACCAGAAACGUCUCGGUGCUCGGAAAAGAAGAGAAAAGAGCAAGUGAGUAUACGAAUCGGGAUAUUUUCGGCCUUGUUCCAUCUCAACCCGAAGUAGAAAGUGCAGCGACUGCUCUUCAAAAUUUUUUGAAAGCGAUUUCUUCAUCUGAGUCGGGAUUUAACCAGCAGCUGAAAACGUUGGGAUAUGGUGAUAUCAAAAAAUCGCUAUCUCAUGGAUAUGGAAGAGUUGAGAAUGCUUUUCGUUUGCUGCAAACAGAGCCAAGUAUUAAGAGACUGGUGAUAUCUCUAUCAUCUGAUAAAGCUGUGUGGGAUGCUGUUAUGAAUAACGAGGUCGUGCGGCAGCUGCGAGAGUCAUUCAUCGAUCCAGGUUUAACAACCUUUGAUGAAGCAGAGUUUUAUUAGCUUAACAUUGAGCUUAAUUGCGUUUGUGGAUAACUUCCCUUGCUUCUCUUGUUUCACAUUAUCUAUUUCCACAGGCGUAAACCGUAGGAUACCAAGCUGUGCCGAAGAACAGGAUGUGGGUACCUGUGUGUUGAGAUGGAUUAUGGACAUCACCAAAGCCCAAGUUACUCUUCUUAUCCAGAAAUUUCAGCAGUUGAUGAACGAGAUUUUCCAACCUUCAGAAAGGGAGAAAGAGAGAGUCACAGAAGGAAGCAUAGAUGAGAUGGAUGACAUAAUUAGAUCAUCGUUGCUUCUCUCCAUUGUAAUCCUCUUGAUUGUAGUUGUGGCAAGGAUUCAUGGGGCUUAACCACACGAUCACAGAAUAAUAGUAAUGUUUUCAUAUAUUAAAGUGAUCACAGAAUAAUAGUAAUGUUUUCAUAUAUUAAAGUGCGCUUUUGUUUUAGAAACUGCUUAAAAGCCAAACUAAAAUACUCCUCGCUGAGCAUUUCACAAGUGCAGUGAUUUCAGUCAGCAACAUACUCGUGCAGAACAUACUGAAAAUGUCAGGAUAGCCAUUCUUAUCAAGGAACAUCAUUCUUAUGCACCAUAGUUCAUCUCUUUUCUUAAUGUACGAAUAAAAAGUCAAAUGAAACAAGGUUCAACUAAUCAUUUUCUUCUUUUCUUUUUUGGGUAAAUUGCCAUAGCUCUUUUCUGAUUUCACAAUUAACUCAACUUGGCAUAAGCUUCAAAUCUGUGAAGACACGAGUAUAUAAACCCACGAUCAAGACAUCCAAUAUUUUGGACCCAUCAGCUCGCGAUCUGCUGCAGUACCUUGAGUGGCAAGCUUCUGAAUGCGUGAAGAGAAUUCCUCAGCCUUCUCAUCAAUCCACAUCAAAGAACUUAGUUGAUUGUUCAAGAUUCGGACAACCACAUCCAAUGGAGUCAUCCUAUCAAUUGUGUCCAGAUCACCACCCUGGCUGGAGUUCAGGGUGUCAAUAACAGAUUUUAUCUGUUCAGUCAUCUGCUCUAGUUCCCUCCCUAUAAGCUCAGCUUGCUCAUACAUUGCAUCUCGAGUUGAUGCAGCUUCAUCAUCAAGAAGCAACCCACGCUCAUCCUUGUAAAUACGUUCAGCUUCCUCUUCCAUACUCUGCAAGGCCUUAUCAACCUCCUGUUGAUGGGUCUCAAUUAACUCCAAUUGCCGUUCCAAGUUAGCUUGUGUCUCAACCACUUUUGCCACCUCAAUCUCAAGCCUAAGAAGAACAUCACGAUUGUGCAAGAUUCUCUUAUCCCAUUCAGCUAUUGCAGCAGCUUGCUUCCGAAAUUUCCCAGUACGCUCUUGAAGCUCAGCAUUCCACUCUUUGAUUAUCUCCUCAACGGUCUUGCCUGUAAUCUCAGAUGGCAAUUUUGGUGUAGCAGAUACAGCAGUGGUGGUAACACUUGAACUUGUCCCACUGCUGGAAGGCACAGCAAGAGAAAGUGUCAUCUGAGAUGUGGUAGUACUGGAAAUGGAAGUUGUUGCAGCUGCAGAAGUAGAAGUAGGGGCACCUGCAGAAUGUUUUGUGUCAGAUGUGAGAACUUAAAUCCGGAACUUGAUCUAGAGUCUAGACUCCUUAAGAUCCAAACAAGAUGCGACCACAAAAAACAAAAAAAUAAAUAGAUGAAAUGAAUAAAUCUCAAAUAUGUAGAACAUUUGAGAAUGCCCAUAAAGAUGAUGAUUCUCCGGCAAAAGAAGGGGAGAAAAAGGAACUAUAAGUUGUUUAAAAUAGGCAAUGGAGACGCUAUCAUUUUGCUCAGUGAAUUAAAAAGCUACAAUCGCCUUUUUUUUUUCUUGAAUGAACCAUCACUACUCACUAGCAUAGCCUAAAAACCCAAGCAACUUUCACUUGAGGAAAGAGGGCAUGCUAAAAUGCAUCAAAUGAGAGGGUACCACAUCUCAACUUGACUACCAAAUUGAACUGAGAUUUUUCUUUAAUCUACUCACUAGUUGUCACUUGUCAUAAUGAAAUAAAACACUAAGGCCACAGCAAUCAAGCAUUAUUACUUAGUCACAUGUAACUCCAAUUGUUAUAACUUAUAACCACAAAAACAAGAAAUUGGAAAGACCAACAUCUGCUUCUUUUACUAAUUUAGUAGAAAUCCACUUAUCAACUCAUAAGCAAGUAAAAAUCAUAAACACAACACUUCAGGCGUACAAUAAUCAUCAUAUAACAAUAGAAUAUCUCAAGCAGGAAGAAGAGUUUAAAACACUCGCUGAAUAAGGAUGCAGCAAUCGUUGAUUGAGCUUGUGAUGUUGUCACUGGUACUGAUGGUUUGAUUGAUAAGGAAAAUCCUGUGUACGAACUAGUACUCCCCGAUGAAGCUGCUGUAGCGGACACUCCAAAACCAGUAAAGGAACUUGUAGUCCCAGAAGAAGCAGCUGUGGUAGCUGAAGUAGCAAAAGAAGAAGAACUCACACCAGAUGCAGGUAAAGUAAGCGUUGAAGCUGUAGCAGAAGAAGAAGCCACUGAAAUACCAGCAGCUGGAGUAAAAGCACUUGUGGUCGUGACUGUAGAAAACAAUGGCGAUAGAGAUGUUGGUUUUGCAGCAAGUGUGGUGGAGACAGUAGGGGCAGAUGAAGAAGCUGCAUUGCUAAAGCUGAAGGAAGAUUGAGACGAUGCGGAAGAUGGUGUCCCAAAUGAAAUGGUAGAAGCGCUUGCUGAAGAUGCAGAAGACGGUGUCCCAAAUGAGAAGCCUGAAGUGCUUGCUGAUGAAGUUUGUGUCGAAGGAGCCGCUGUAGAUGCAGUAGUUGGUGUUGAACUUGGAGUGGUUUUUGGUAAGGAAAAUCCUGAUGAAGCGGUGGAGAAAGGCAAAGCGAAGCUUGAAUUCGAAGAGGAAAUUGAAGAGAACAAAUUAGACGAGAAUGUAGUAGUUGAAGCUGAUGUAGACGAGGCAAACAAGUUAGAUGUAGUAGUGGCAGCUGAAGCACCAGAUGACCCAAACAGGGACGGCCCAGAAUUUGUAGUGGAUGAAGACGUCCCAAAAUGUAAUGAACCUGAACUUGCAGCGGAGGAGGAUGUACCAAACGGGAAUGGUCCAGAACUGGCCGCAGACGAAGUUGUUGGGAACAAAGAUGGGGUAGAACUUGCCGCAGACGAAGUUGUUGCGAAUAAAGAUGGGGUAGAACUUGCCGCAGACGAAGUUGUUGCGAAUAAAGAUGGGGUAGAACUUGCCGCAGACGAAGUUGUUGCGAAU